AACUGGUCGAGAGUUGAUGUUGCUUUCCUAAUGAGGCCAUGGUAGGUUGAAACCAAUU
rnacentral:hammerhead_ribozyme from 15 species